AAACCAGUAGUUCAGUUGGAAGAACACCUCCCUUUCACGGAGGAGGUCACGGGUUCGAUUCCUCGUCUGGUUUA
rnacentral:tRNA from 1 species